rnacentral:rRNA from 1 species
GACUCCUACGGGAGGCAGCAGUGGGGAAUUUUGGACAAUGGGCGGAGCCUGAUCCAGCAAUGCCGCGUGAGUGAAGAAGGCCUUCGGGUUGUAAAGCUCUUUUGUCAGGGAAGAAACGGUGAAGGCUAAUAUCCUUUGCUAAUGACGGUACCUGAAGAAUAAGCACCGGCUAACUACGUGCCAGCAGCGCGGUAAUA